rnacentral:rRNA from 1 species
UACGAAGGGGGCUAGCGUUGCUCGGAUUGACUGGGCGUAAAGGGCGCGUAGGCGGUUCGUACAGUCAGACGUGAAAUUCCUGGGCUCAACCUGGGGGCUGCGUUUGAUACGUGCGGGCUUGAGUUCGGAAGAGGGUCGUGGAAUUCCCGGUGUAGCGGUGAAAUGCGCAGAUAUCGGGAGGAACACCAAUGGCGAAGGCAGCUCGCUGGGACGUUACUGACGCUGAGACGCGAAAGCGUGGGGAGCAAACAGG